AAUAUCUCAAAACGCUUGUGCCUUUUUUGGCAUGGGAUUUUUGGACAUUGGGAGUUGCCGGCCACUGAUAAAGUGGUGGGCUCUUCUGAAAAGCAUUAGUUGAGGAGCUUUGCACUCUAUUUGGUGUGAUAAACUAUCUAUGCCAAGAGAUGCUUCACGAUCCCUCUGCUGUCUAACCGUCUUUAUCAGACAAUAUGAUAA
rnacentral:misc_RNA from 1 species